rnacentral:rRNA from 1 species
UGGGGAAUUUUGGACGAAUUGGGCGAAAGCCUGAAUCCAGCAAUGCCGCGUGUGUGAAGAAGGCCUUCGGGUUGUAAAGCACUUUUGUCCGGAAAGAAAUCCUUGGCUCUAAUACAGUCGGGGGAUGACGGUACCGGAAGAAUAAGCACCGGCUAACUACGUGCCAGCAGCCGCGGUAAUACGUAGGGUGCAAGCGUUAAUCGGAAUUACUGGGCGUAAAGCGUGCGCAGGCGGUUUGCUAAGACCGAUGUGAAAUCCCCGGCUCAACCUGGGAACUGCAUUGGUGACUGGCAGGCUAGAGUAUGGCAGAGGGGGUAGAAUUCCACGUGUAGCAGUGAAAUGCGUAGAGAUGUGGAGGAAUACCGAUGGCGAAGGCAGCCCCUGGCAAGUACUGACGCUCAUGCACG